ensembl:lincRNA 9530082P21Rik uncharacterized LOC110283927
AGUCGUCCAUCGCCUCCACAGAGCUGGCCUGGGUGGCCAAAACAGAUCUGAUCACAGUCGGUGGCAGGGGCUGGACGUCCCCGGGCCAGGUCACUUUCAGAGCCACAGAAGCAGGCAUAACCAGCCUCCACACCAGCCAGCUGGGAGCACAGACUGGGUGACCCCAAAGGCAGGGAUGGUGGAUAUGGGUCCCGCCGCGGCUGGCUUGAAUAAGAAAACGCCACUCCCUGACCCUGAUCGCGGGAGACAGACAGGAAUCGUGGACGCUUAGUCCACGACAGGCAGGGGCAGCUGGUGUCUGGGGAGGAAGGCAGCUGCGCCCCCGGUUCCAGCCCGCCCCCUCUCCCGUUUCCAUUUCUUCCACUCCCUAGGACCCCAGCCCAGGCUCUCCGGAGCCUUGCCUUGGCGGAAUUCCCCAAGCGGUGCCCCCCACCUGGAGGGGAGGGGGAGGGGAGCAGGCCCAGGUUGACUUGACCCAGCUCUGACAGUCCUGAGAGCGUUCGCCACCUAACACACGUCCUGAAGCAGAUGGAGAAACAAGAUUCACAGGGAGCAUUCUGAGAGGCCCAAGUGAAAAUUAUGGCACCAGCUGGGAGCUGCAAAUGCCUGUGGGGGGUCCCAGUUGCUGCUGGUGUCCUGGCCCUCCUGGCCCUCCUGGCCUUGGCUUACCAUUGUCUCAAAGAGGCCUGGAAGUCCAGAUGCCAGCAGCCCUUGCCAUGAGGGUUGGAGGUGUCCUCAAACUGGAGAGAGCCUACAGCUUGUCUUCAUCCACAGCCCAAGUCAGGGCCGGCUGGCGACCCUCUCUUCAGAGCCCCAUGGCCCUCUACUGGCUUCCCCACUGUCCGUCUGAAGACCCUACUGGUACCAGGACAGCCCCCUUGGCUUUGGGUCUGAAGAGACCUCCAUGUUUCAGAGGAGAUUGUGGUAUUGGCCAAGCACCCUGCACCUGUUAAUGUGGAUGAAGGAUUGAAUCUACGGGAGGAGGGUAAUGUGGGGUGAGGGCUGGGUCCUCAUUCCCUCCGGUGUCAGGCAUGAGGGUGGGGAGACACUAGCAGAACUGUCUGUUGUCUCUGGGUUGUGGCAUCAAGGCUUUCUCUCCCCAGAGUCACUUCAAGAAGCCAAGGCCCUGGUUACUCCAUCUUAGCAGUAGCCUGUUCCUCUGGGGGUGCGGUAGGGGUGACACCGUGACCCAAAGGGGAGCUGUGGACUAGAAGCAAAAGCACAAGGCCCUCCAGAGUGGCCAAGAAUGUCUCAGCAGGCAGAGGAAGCUAUGUCUGACCUCCACUCCCCAAGUCUCUGUCAUUGCCCAGGCAGAGCUUUGGGGUCUCAUGUCCCGGCUGGCUCCUUCCUGGGACCAUGGCAAGGGCCACUGCAACCUCACCCUUUGUGGCCCCUGAGCUCUCUUGGCUCAGCCCAGGCACCAGAGAAGGCAGGGCCUACUGAAGCACAUCAGGGGUCCCUGGCUGGCGAGCAGUAAGCCUGUGGAACUUUCUGGGUCAGGACACUGCUGCAGGCCCCCUGUGUCCACUGUGACCUGGACUCCUGAGAUCACCCAGGACCACCUCAUUUUUUUUUUCCUGAGCUUCCCUGGGUCAGGGAGGGUGAGUUAGUAAUGGCAGGUUAGUGAGGCUAUGGCAAGCCGAAUCUGAAAGUGAUUCCUGCCCCUGGAGAUGCACAGGCUCACCAGCCAGUUCCCUGGAGUGUAGACGUAACCCUGCAUGCACCAACGUUCUUCUCUGACUAUGUCACACUGUGUGGAGAUGGUGGAGGGAUUGAUGCAGAUGAAUUAGCGUCUCUAAUU